GUUGAUGGUGCUUUGCACCUGAUUGACGAUGGAUUACCAGUGAGUGGCGGACGGGUGAGUAACACGUAGGUAACCUGCCCCGGAGCGGGGGAUAACAUUUGGAAACAGAUGCUAAUACCGCAUAACAACAAGAGCCACAUGGCUUUUGUUUGAAAGAUGGCUUUGGCUAUCACUCUGGGAUGGACCUGCGGUGCAUUAGCUAGUUGGUAAGGUAACGGCUUACCAAGGCGAUGAUGCAUAGCCGAGUUGAGAGACUGAUUGGCCACAAUGGAACUGAGACACGGUCCAUACUCCUACGGGAGGCAGCAGUAGGGAAUCUUCCACAAUGGGCGCAAGCCUGAUGGAGCAACACCGCGUGAGUGAAGAAGGGUUUCGGCUCGUAAAGCUCUGUUGUUGGAGAAGAACGUGCGUGAGAGUAACUGUUCACGCAGUGACGGUAUCCAACCAGAAAGUCACGGCUAACUACGUGCCAGCAGCCGCGGUAAUACGUAGGUGGCAAGCGUUAUCCGGAUUUAUUGGGCGUAAAGCGAGCGCAGGCGGUUGCUUAGGUCUGAUGUGAAAGCCUUCGGCUUAACCGAAGAAGUGCAUCGGAAACCGGGCGACUUGAGUGCAGAAGAGGACAGUGGAACUCCAUGUGUAGCGGUGGAAUGCGUAGAUAUAUGGAAGAACACCAGUGGCGAAGGCGGCUGUCUGGUCUGCAACUGACGCUGAGGCUCGAAAGCAUGGGUAGCGAACAGGAUUAGAUACCCUGGUAGUCCAUGCCGUAAACGAUGAGUGCUAGGUGUUGGAGGGUUUCCGCCCUUCAGUGCCGGAGCUAACGCAUUAAGCACUCCGCUCUGGGGAGUACGACCGCAAGGUUGCAAC
rnacentral:rRNA from 1 species